rnacentral:piRNA from 1 species
UCCUGGCUGGCUUGCCAAAAUGUUGUGGGA